GAUGAAGAACGCAGCGAAAUGCGAUACGUAAUGUGAAUUGCAGAAUUCAGUGAAUCAUCGAAUCUUUGAACGCAUAUUGCGCUCUCUGGUAUUCGGGAGAGCAUGCUUGUUUGAGUAUCAGUAAACACCUCAACUUCCAUAUCUUUUUUGAAAUGGGAGUUGGACUUGAGUGAUCCCAACGCUUUUCCUCACCGAAAAGUGGCGGGUUACUUGAAAUGCAGGUGCAGCUGGACUUUUCUCUGAGCUAUAAGCAUAUCUAUUUAGUCUGCCUAAAAAACAGAUUAUUACCUUUGCUGCAGCUAACAUAAAGGAGAUUAGUUCUUGUGCUGACUGAUGCAGGAUUCACAAAGACAGGCUUCGGCCGACUUUGUAAACUCGAUCUCAAAUCAAGUAAGACUACCCGCUGAACUUAAGCAUAUCAAUAAGCGGAGGA
rnacentral:misc_RNA from 1 species